rnacentral:rRNA from 1 species
UACGGGGGGGGCAAGCGUUGUUCGGAAUUACUGGGCGUAAAGGGCUCGUAGGCGGCCAACUAAGUCAGACGUGAAAUCCCCAGGCUCAACCUGGGAACUGCAUCUGAUACUGGAUGGCUUGAAUUCGGGAGAGGGAUGCAGAAUUCCAGGUGUAGCGGUGAAAUGCGUAGAUAUCUGGAGGAAUACCGGUGGCGAAGGCGGCAUCCUGGACCGACAUUGACGCUGAGGAGCGAAAGCCAGGGGAGCAAACGGG